UUGAGUUUGAUAUUUCAUUCC
rnacentral:piRNA from 1 species